GAUGAACGCUAGCGGCAGGCUUAACACAUGCAAGUCGAGGGGCAGCAUAAUGGAUAGCAAUAUCUAUGGUGGCGACCGGCGCACGGGUGCGUAACGCGUAUGCAACCUACCUUUAACAGGGGGAUAACACUGAGAAAUUGGUACUAAUACCCCAUAAUAUCAUAGAAGGCAUCUUUUAUGGUUGAAAAUUCCGAUGGUUAGAGAUGGGCAUGCGUUGUAUUAGCUAGUUGGUGGGGUAACGGCUCACCAAGGCGACGAUACAUAGGGGGACUGAGAGGUUAACCCCCCACACUGGUACUGAGACACGGACCAGACUCCUACGGGAGGCAGCAGUGAGGAAUAUUGGUCAAUGGACGCAAGUCUGAACCAGCCAUGCCGCGUGCAGGAUGACGGCUCUAUGAGUUGUAAACUGCUUUUGUACGAGGGUAAACGCAGAUACGUGUAUCUGUCUGAAAGUAUCGUACGAAUAAGCAUCGGCUAACUCCG
rnacentral:rRNA from 1 species